AUUGGCUUGGCCAAAAAGUUCCUUUGGGUUUUUCUGUAACAGGGAAAAACCUGAAUGAACUUUUUGGGCAACCCAA
rnacentral:miRNA from 1 species